GAGGAAUCUUGGUCAAUGGCCUAACGGCUGAACUGGCAACUUGGAGAAGUGGCAAGUCUUCCAGUAUGGGGAGCAAAACAGCUAUGGGUCAAGUCCGAUAUCUUUAGGAGAAGUCUUAUUGUGAGGGCGAGUUAUAUAACACCAUAGGACUGGCCGUCCCAUAUGAAAAGAUUAUAUUAGAAUUGAAUGAAGCUUUGUUUAUAUAUUGAUAAUGACAGUAUAUAUAUCGUGUCUUGACUAAUUGCGUGCCAGCAGUCGCGGUAAUACGUAAGAGACUAGUGUUAUUCAUCUUAAUUAGGUUUAAAGGGUACCCAGACGGUCAAUAUAGCUUAUAAAAUGUUAGUACUUGACUAGAGUUUUAUGUAAGAGGGCAGUACUUGAGGAGGAGAGAUGAAAUUUCGUGAUACCAAAGGGACUCUGUAAAGGCGAAGGCAGCCCUCUAUGUAAAAACUGACGUUGAAGGACGAAGGCACAGAGAACAAACAGGAUUAGAUACCCAAGUAGUCUUUGCAGUAAAUGAUGAAUGCCAUAGGUUAGAUUGAUCAAUUAUAGUCUAGGGUUAGUCUAGCAAACUAAUGCCCUAUGAUAUAAUUCAAAAUAUCUGGUCUAUAAAUGAAAGUGUAAGCAUUUCACCUCAAGAGUAAUGUGGCAACGCAGGAACUGAAAUCACUAGACCGUUUCUGACACCAGUAGUGAAGUAUGUUAUUUAAUUCGAUGGAA
rnacentral:rRNA from 1 species